AACGACUCUCGGCAACGGAUAUCUCGGCUCUCGCAUCGAUGAAGAACGUAGCGAAAUGCGAUACUUGGUGUGAAUUGCAGAAUCCCGUGAACCAUCGAGUUUUUGAAGCGCAAGUGCGCCCUAAGCCUUCUGGCSGAGGGCACGUCUGCCUGGGUGUAACA
rnacentral:rRNA from 1 species